rnacentral:rRNA from 1 species
GACGAAGGGGGCUAGCGUUGUUCGGAUUUACUGGGCGUAAAGGGCGCGUAGGCGGCCAGCACAAGUCAGUUGUGAAAUCUCCGAGCUUAACUCGGAACGGUCAACUGAUACUGUGCGGCUAGAGUGCGGAAGGGGCAACUGGAAUUCCACGUGUAGCAGUGAAAUGCGUAGAGAUGUGGAGGAACACCGAUGGCGAAGGCAGCCUCCUGGGCCAGCACUGACGCUCAUGCACGAAAGCGUGGGGAGCAAACAGG